rnacentral:rRNA from 1 species
AACAAACGCUGGCGGCGUGCCUAAUACAUGCAAGUCGAACGGGGAAAGCUUUCGGGUGAGUACUAGUGGCGCACGGGCGAGGAACGCGUGGAUAAUCUGCCUUAGAGUGGGGGAUAACUAGUCGAAAGAUUAGCUAUACCGCAUAAGACCACAGGAGCUGCGGCUCAAGGGGUCAAAGGUUUUUCGCUCUAAGAUGAGUCCGCGUAAGAUUAGCUAGUUGGUGAGGUAACGGCUCACCAAGGCGACGAUCUUUAACUGGUCUGAGAGGAUGAUCAGCCACACUGGAACUGGGACACGGUCCAGACUCCUACGGGAGGCAGCAGUAGGGAAUAUUGCACAAUGGAGGAAACUCUGAUGCAGCGACGCCGCGUGAGUGAUGAAUGCCUUCGGGUCGUAAAGCUCUGUCGCAGGGGAAUAACACAAUGAAGGUACCCUGUAAGAAAGGAUCGGCUAACUUCGUGCCAGCCGCCGCCGUAACAC